rnacentral:rRNA from 1 species
AAACGCUUGAAGUCAGUCGCGUCUCUCGGGACUCAGUCGGACCCCUAGGGUCCGACGCACUUCCCGAGUCGGACGGGCCAGCGUCGAUUUCUAUCGCCGUAAAAAGGCGCGAGGAACGUGGCACCUUCGGGUGUGUUAUAGCCUCGCGUCGUAUGCGGCGGUCGGGAUCGAGGAACGCAGCGCGCGCCCUAGGGCACGGGGUUCGCCCACGUAACGCGCUUGGGACGCUGGCGUAAUGGCUUUAAGCGA